rnacentral:rRNA from 1 species
AGCGAACGCUGGCGGCAGGCCUAACACAUGCAAGUCGAACGAACUCUUCGGAGUUAGUGGCGGACGGGUGAGUAACACGUGGGAACGUGCCUUUUGGUUCGGAAUAACUCAGGGAAACUUGUGCUAAUACCGAAUGUGCCCUUCGGGGGAAAGAUUUAUCGCCAUUAGAGCGGCCCGCGUCUGAUUAGCUAGUUGGUGAGGUAAAGGCUCACCAAGGCGACGAUCAGUAGCUGGUCUGAG